CGGCUCCUCUCUUCUCCUCUGUUUCUCUCAGCGGUGCAAAAAAUCCCUCUGGUGUUGUCUUGAGAGCUUCGAUUGAAAUUUGAAUCGGUACUUUACAUUAUUCACUCGAUGGUCCGCAAUAUCUCUUCCGUUCUUCGUUUGUCAUCUGAAAAUUUUGGUGGUUAGGGAAACCCUAGAAAAUAUGAAUGAUGGACUCUGUAGAUUUGCCGUCGUCUGUCGAUGAAUCUGGAUCGCUCGAUCCGACAUCGGAUACCAGGAAAUUCAAGCAGCCGAAGCAUUCGAAGUUCAAGCAACAAGAACUUUCAUCGUGCAAGCCUAUCAUAACUCCUAAAUUGGUGGUUUCGACGCUUUUGUUUAUCUGCGCCGUCUUCAUUCCCAUUGGAUUCCUUUCCCUCUCUGCUUCGCGCAAUGUAUGCCCAAAAUUGGCAAAUGUUGUUGAGAUUGUUCAUCAAUACGAGACUGAAUGUGUCCCUAUCGAGUCGAGGAAUGACAUUUCUCGAUUUAUGCAAAGCUCGAGCAACAAAACUUGUAGUAGAACUCUUAAUGUUCCAAAGCACAUGAAGCAACCAAUUUAUGUUUAUUACCAGCUCGAUAAUUUCCACCAGAAUCAUCGCCGAUAUAUGAAGAGCCGGAGCGACAAGCAGUUGAUGAGUCGAGCAAGCGAAGGCGACACCCAGAAAUGCUGGCCCGAGGAUGUAACAAAAGAUGGGAUGCCGAUAUUACCAUGUGGUCUUAUCGCUUGGAGUGUGUUUAACGAUACCUACCGUUUUUCUCGCAACAAAAAACCUUUGACCUUAAACCGGAGAGACAUCACAUGGAAAAGAGACCGGGAAAGGAAAUUCGGCAACAAUGUCUACCCGAAAAACUUUCAGCGCGGGGCUCUUAUAGGCGGCGGAAGGCUCAACGAAUCCAAACCGGUUGUCCGCAUUGCUUUCAAAUGUUGCGAGAAUCUGCACCGUGGCCGUGUUUUCUUUGCAUCGCAGUUGAGCGAGCAGGAGGAUCUUAUUGUAUGGAUGCGAACCGCGGCGCUGUCGAAUUUCAGGAAAUUGUACGGUAAGAUCGAGGAGGAUCUUGUCGCCGGGGACACCGUCGAUGUCAUUUUAGAAAACAAUUACAAUGCUUACAUUUUCGACGGCAAGAAGAAGCUCGUUCUGUCGACUGAGACGUGGCUCGGUGGUAAGAACGAAUUUCUCGGAUUCGUGUAUCUCGGUGUCGGAGGAUUGUGCUUCGUCCUCGGCAUGGUUUUUGCGGUUAUUUUUGUUGUAGUAAAGCCAAGAAAACUCGGCGACACGAGCCGAUUCUCGUGGCACAAUGAUGCGGGAUAUAACUGAGGUAGCUUACGGGAGUUUGUUCGAGUUUUUGUACUAGGAUGCGGAGGAACUCGUCGGAGGUUCGAGACAUUGUCAUGACGACUGAUCAUGAAGAAUAUAUCGUGAUCUGAGUGAAGGAGUUGGAGUUUCCUCCCGAGAAGUAGGAGGCUCGCACCGGCACCACUUGCCGUUAGGACUUAGGUGAUCGCUGACCGUCGAACUUCGAUGGCCACCCAACACUUGUUGUUUGGCUUAGCUUCACCAUUGCGAGGACUCUCCCGACAAAAUUGUCGUCGUGUGAUCUUAAAAGAAAAGUUGAAAUAUUGAAUUAAGAAGUUAAUAGAAAAAAACUGAAUAUUUGAUGUGA